GUUCGAUUCUGGCUCAGGUUCAGACGCUGGCGGGAUGCUUUACGCUGGAUCUGACAACGCUUACGGACUUCGGUCUGGUGGCGAGUGGCGAACGGGUGAGUAAUGUAUCGGAACGUGCCCAAUGGCAGGGAAUGCUUCGCGAAAGCGUAGCUAAUACUACCGCCCUUCGGAGAAAGCGGGGGACCUUCGGGCCUCGCACUAUUCGGUGACCGAUAUCGGAUUAGCUGGUUGGUGGAGUAACGGCUCCCCGCAGGGCGGCGAUCAUGGUUUGAGAAGGACGACCAGCCACACUGGGACUGAGACACGGCCCAGACUCCUACGGGAGGCAGCAGUGGGGUGCUGGUUAAUGGAAGCCUGAUCCAGCCAUCCCGCGUGUGCGAUGAAGGCCUUCGGGUUUAUGCGUACUUUUGGCAGAAGAAACGGCACGGGAUAAUACCCCGUGCAACUGACAGUACCUGCAGAAUAAGCACCGGCUAACUACGUGCCAGCAGCCGCGGUAAUACGUAAGUGCAAGCGUUAAUCGGAAUUACUGGGCGUAAAGCGUGCGCGAGCGGUUCGGAAGAAAAAUCGCGCAUGAAAUCCCAGAGCUUAACUUUGGAACUGCAUUUUUAACUACCGAGCUAGAGUGUGUCAGAGGGGUGGUGCCGCGUGUAACGGUAGAGCGCGUAGAUAUGCGGAGGAACACCGAUGGCGAAACAGCCUCCUGGGAUAACACUGACGCUCAUACAAAGCAGGGGAGCAAACAGGAUUAGAUGCCCUGGUUGAUCGCCUAAGCAAAUCAAUCAACUAGCUGUUGAGGCCUUCUUCGGGCCUUGGUAGCGCAACUAACGCGUGAAGUUGACCGCCUGGGAAGUACAGAUGCGCAGAUUAAAACCUCAAAGAAUUGACGGGGACCCGCACAAGCGGUGGAUGAUGUGGAUUAAUUCGAUGCAACGCGAAAAACCUUACCUACCCUUGACAUGUCUGGAAUCCGAAGAGAUUUGGGAGUGCUCGCAAGAGAACCGGAACACAGGUGCUGCAUAGCUGUCGUCAGCUCGUGUCGUGAGAUGUUGGGUUAAGUCCUGGCGAAGCUGGCUGCAUAAUGCAUUAGUUGCUGAAGGCGCUCUAAUGAGACUGCCGGUGACAAACGGGGAGGAAGGUGAGAUGACGUCAAGUCCUCAUGGCCCUUAUGGUGGGGCUUCACGUCAUAAUGCGUUCGGGACAGGGUCGCUAUUCGCGAGAGAGCCAAUCCGAGAGCGAUGUGAUCCGGAUCGCAGUCACAACUCGACUGCGUGAAGUCGGAAUCGCUAGUAAUCGCGGAUCAGCAUGUCGCGGUGAAUACGUUCCCGGGUCUUGUACACACCGCCCGUCACACCAUGGGAGUGGGUUUUACCAGAAGUAGUUAGCCUAACCAUGGGGAGAGGGCAGUUACCACAUUGGUAGGAUUCGCGGCUAGAGAGGUGAAGUCGUAACCUAAGGUAA
rnacentral:rRNA from 1 species